CAGUAAUUCAUUAUUGAGUGAACAAUAAGUCAAUGGGAGAGCCAAAGCUAGUACACAGUUCUCUCAACUCCUAGAGCAGUUCUUUGAUUAGCCAGUAUUAUUAAUCCUCUUGUACUUGUUCCUCUCUUUUUGUUACUGGGUAUUGAACCAAGGGACACUUGACCACUGAGCCAUAUUCUCAUCACCCCCCCCCCCUUUUUUUUUUAAUUUUGAGACAGAGUCUCUAAGUUACUUAGGGCCAUACUAAGUUGCUGAGGCUGGCUUUAAACUUGCUAUCCUCCUACCUCAGCCUCCCAAGCCACUGGAAUUAUAAGUGGGCACCACAGCGCCAAACCUUGUUUCUUUUUUUUCUUUAUAAUUUUUUUAAUAUUUAUUUUUUAGUUUUUGGCGAACACAACAUCUUUGUUUGUAUGUGGUGCUGAGGGUCGAACCCGGGCCGCACGCAUGCCAGGCGAGCACGCUACCGCUUGAGCCACAUCCCCAGCCCCAAGCCUUGUUUCUCUUUCUGACAUAUUACCUGGAAAGACUCAAGAAAGCUGUCCUUGCCUGAAACUUUGAACAGUGUAAUUUCCACUUGCCUUUCAUGGGUUGGUAUCUAACAUAUCAUUAGCCAAUCAAAACUUUGGCUGUUUAGGAGCCCUGAGACUAUAUGAAAUCAAGAUUGCUUAUUUGACCACAGUGGCACAUUCCUGUAAUUCCAGCAACUAUGGAGGCUGCAGGAGGAGGAUUGCAAGUUUGAGAUCAACUUGGGCAGUUUUGCAAGAUCCUGUCUCCAAAAAAGGGGGGGCUGGGCACAGUGGUACAUGCCUAUAAUCCCGGCAGCUCUGGAGGCUGAGACAGGAGGAU
rnacentral:lncRNA from 1 species